rnacentral:piRNA from 1 species
AUAUGGUUUUAGAGCUUUAUUG